ACACAAAUAUUUUUAUUAUUUUUACACACAGAGAUCUUUUUGUACUUUUUUUCCAAUUCAAAGUGAUCAAAAUAAUGUUUACAUUACACAUUCAGAUGAUGUAUGAGUACAUUUAAUAUUCAAAAUUGAUAUGUAUGAUACGUUUUCAAAAUAAAUGUUACAAGAAAAUAAUAAUAAUAGUGCUACUCUGUUUAAAGCAACUUUCUACCGUAAACUAUUUUCAAACAUCAUCUGAGAUUCAGAAUAAACAUCAACGCAACACGUUACUGAUGCUGCUUUGAUUACAGAACAUUCUUAUUAGCUGAGCAACAAUAACAAGAGAAAAUGACAAGGUUGGU